CCUACGGGAGGCAGCAGUCGAGAAUCAUUCACAAUGGGGGAAACCCUGAUGGUGCGACGCCGCGUGGGGGAAUGAAGGUCUUCGGAUUGUAAACCCCUGUCAUGUGGGAGCAAAUUAAAAAGAUAGUACCACAAGAGGAAGAGACGGCUAACUCUGUGCCAGCAGCCGCGGUAAUACAGAGGUCUCAAGCGUUGUUCGGAAUCACUGGGCGUAAGGCGUGCGUAGGCUGUUUCGUAAGUCGUGUGUGAAAGGCGCGGGCUCAACCCGCGGACGGCACAUGAUACUGAGAGACUAGAGUAAUGGAGGGGGAACCGGAAUUCUCGGUGUAGCAGUGAAAUGCGUAGAUAUCGAGAGGAACACUCGUGGCGAAGGCGGGUUCCUGGACAUUAACUGACGCUGAGGCACGAAGGCCAGGGGAGCGAAAGGGAUUAGAUACCCCAGUAGUC
rnacentral:rRNA from 1 species